AUGAGAGGGAAGAACAAGGAUGAUGAGAGUGACGAUAACGAGGAGGAGGAGGAGGAUGAUAGCGAGGAGGAGGACGAUGUAAUGAGGAGGAAUGUGGAUGUGAUGAAGGGGAAGAGCAAGGGGGGUGAUGAUGUGAUGAGGAAGAAGAAGGAGGAUGUGGAUGUGAUGAAGGGGAAGAACAAGGGGGGUGAUGAUGUGAUGAAGAGGAAGAAGGAGGAUGUGGAUGUGAUCAAGGGGAAGAACAAGGAGGAUGACAAUGGUAAUAGCCACGGCAGAUGCAAAUCCGUAGAGGAGGAGGCCGGUGGGGAGGACGACGGAAACACCAGUCACGACGACAGUUCUGAUGACAAUGCUGACGAAGAGGAGUCUGACGACACAACAGAUACAGAGACAGAGGAGGAGGAGGAGGAGGAGGAGGCGGGGGAGGAGGAAGAAGAAGAAUCUGACGAGGCAGAGCAGGAACGGCGUGUCGCGCCUAGACGCAACGGCGAGGCAGGGCAGGACCAGCGUGUCACGCCUGGCAGCAACGGCGAGGCCGGUGGGAGGGCCAGACCAGCCGUCGAGGGCUUGCAGAGAGUCCGCAAGAGGAGAUUCGAGGGGUUGUGGAUCGUCGAGGAGCCCGACACCACCGCCCCCCCUCCCGGCCGGGGUCUCAUCAGUGAGCGGACACGGUCGCGCCUGAGCUGCUCCAACAAGAAACUGCUGAAACGUGGUACUGUAAGCAGGCCGGUCCUGCUCGACACAUCUUCCUCCGGCUCCGAGCCAGAGGAAGCCGUGCCACCGCCUCAGCCAUCCAGCUGGGCGGCCGAGGACGACAGCUCCGGCGAAGACAGAAGGCCGGCGAAGAAGAAGAAGAAGAGACGGUGCCGGGAGCAGAUCGCCCAAGGCGGGCUCUCAGAGGAAGAGGACGACCACAGCGACGACCCUGACGCUGAACCUGACGACGACAGAACCUUCCCAAGGAACGCCAGGAAGGGGCCGAGCUCAAGCCGGCCGAAGACCGGAGCGUCAAACCGGCAGCAGUCUGCUGCCAAGGAACGUGGCAACACCCACGCUGGUUCUUCUACCAACCCAAGACGCGCCAAGAAUCGCGCUGCAAACGCGGCAGAGGGGCGCGGUCUGCAGGAUGACAUUUUCUUCAAGAAAAGCUCACUGUCUCAUCGCAAGAGGAAGCAUACGGAGGAGGAGGACAUCCCUUGCAAUGACCUCCUCUCCAACUUAUUCGACGGGAUACCGAGCUACCGGAAUGGCUCUGCUCCUGCCGAUGCACAGCAGGGCGGCGGCGACACGAUGCCUCUGGUGUUCAAGUUCGGGGAGGAAGCUGAAGUGAAAUCAGAGCAUGACGAGCUCGAGGAUCAACUGUGGGGAGACUACGAUUUUGUCCUUGAAGCCAACAAUGCCAACGCUCACAGCUCCGAUGAGGUUGAAGAGAGCCAGGGGCAAGAUAUUCCAUCAGACCAAAAAACUUUAUGCAGUCAAGGGAAGCAUGAUUUAUUUACCGAUGACCAAAUUGGAACUUGGUGCAAGCACUGCAAAUUUGUUCUUGAAAUUAAAUAUGUAAUGGCCCCUAUGGGGAAUUAUUCAGCGGAAAGGGAACCAACGGCUCGCGAGCUGAACAUGGAUUAUAUUAUUUUUAAUGGCAUCCUAACAACAAUGGGGUAUGAAGGAGAGUACAUCACUGGCAGUCAUAAAAGUGGCCCUGUAUGGAAUCUCAUUCCUGGUGUCCGAGAAGACAUGUUCCCACACCAGCAGGAAGCCUUUGAAUUCAUGUGGAAGAAACUGGCCGGAGGUAUUGACAUUGAAGAGGUGAAGAAGUUUGUGAAAACUGAUACUCUAAGUGGCUGUGUGAUCUCUCACGCCCCAGGGACGGGGAAGACCAGAUUAGCAAUCACAUUUGUUCAAUCUUACCUCGAGCUUUUCCCGCAGUGUUUUCCGGUGAUCAUUGCCCCCAAGGGGAUGCUUGACACAUGGGAAACUGAGUUCAGAAAAUGGAAUGUGAAGAUACCUUUCCACAUACUGAAUUCCAGAGAUAUCCACUGGCAUGGAGAUAAAACCGUCGAAAAACUGGCCUCGAAUGAUAAGGAAUUGGCCCGGAGGCUGUCCAUAAGCAGCAUUGACAAGAAUUAUAUGCGCGCUCUGAAAUUGCGAUCAUGGGCUGAGGGGAGUAGCAUCAUUGGACUCAGCUACAGCCUGUUCCAGAAGCUCACCAAAGGAGAAGGCAAUGAUGAUGACAAGCUGAGGCAGAUGCUUCUUCAAAGGCCUGACUUGCUGAUCCUUGAUGAAGGACACACGCCAAGGAACAAGGAGAGCAAUAUUUUUAAGGCUCUUGCUGAAGUUCGUACAAAAAGGCGGAUUAUUCUAUCCGGGACACCAUUCCAGAACAACUUUGAAGAGCUUCGAAGCAUCUUUAGCCUGUUACUUCCGGCAAAUUAUGAAGCCAUGGAUUUCUUUCCUUCUUCGAAACUACACAACGUGACAGAUGUGAUGGUAGAAGAGAUCAGGAAAAAAUUGGACCCUUUUGUGCACAUCCAUAAUGGUGACAUUCUUCAAAAAUCCCUCAAAGGACUAAGAGAAUCUGUUGUGAUUCUGAAUCCUCUUCCCAGCCAGAAGAGGAUCAUCGCAAUGAUGGAGAAACAUAAGACACGUGGCAAACGUCCUCAAAAAGAAAAGACACAUAGCGGCACUUUUGAGUCAGAAUACAAGAUAUCUCUUGCGUCUGUACAUCCGUCCCUCGCUGCUGGCAUGAAAAAGUUGCCAAAAGAAGUAACAUCUGUUUUGGACGAGCUUCCAUUGGAGAGGUUACGGUUGAAGCCAAGUGAAGGAGUUAAGACGAGGUUUGUGUACGAGGUUGUGCGUCUAUGUCAAGCUUUAAAAGAGCGAGUGCUUGUCUUUAGCCAGUUUCUUGAACCACUGGAGUUGAUCAUGCAACAGCUGAGAAAAGCGUUCAACUGGACUAAAGGCAAAGAGAUCUUGUAUAUGAGUGGAAAAAUCUCCCCUAAAACCCGCAAAGCCUUGAUGGUGGCCUUCAAUGAUGUGGAGAGCGAGGCCAAGGUGAUGCUUGCAUCGACCAAGGCGUGUGGAGAAGGUAUCACCCUCGUUGGAGCGUCGCGUGUGGUGCUCCUCGAUGUUGUGUGGAACCCUUCUGUUGGAAGGCAGGCGAUUGGACGUGCAUAUCGUAUUGGUCAACAAAAGAUUGUCCAUACAUACAACCUAAUCGCAGAAGGAACACAGGAGAAGGCCAAAUAUGACACACAAGCUAAGAAGGACCAAAUGUCCAAAUUGCUGUUUUCAAGUGAGCCACAGCCCGCGGAGUGCAGCCGGUCAUCAGAGUUUAUUUCCAAUGACAGGAUUUUGGAACAGAUGACUGAAGAUGAAAAUCUGAAAGAGAUGUUUGUGAGUAUUCUCCCAUCGCAGUGGUGA
rnacentral:rRNA from 1 species